UACGUAGGUGGCGAGCGUUGUCCGGAUUUACUGGGCGUAAAGCGCGUGUAGGCGGCCGGAUAAGUCGGGUGUGAAAGCCCGGGGCUUAACUCCGGGUCUGCAUUCGAUACGGGCAGGCUAGAGUGUGGUAGGGGAGAUCGGAAUUCCUGGUGUAGCGGUGGAAUGCGCAGAUAUCAGGAGGAACACCGAUGGCGAAGGCAGGUCUCUGGGCCAUUACUGACACUGAGAAGCGAAAGCAUGGGGAGCGAACAGG
rnacentral:rRNA from 1 species